AAAAAUAUAGUAUAAAUAAUACAUUUCACUUACACUGAAAAUAUGCUAUGAAUAUUAGCUGUUUUUA
rnacentral:tRNA from 1 species